AGUGAACGCUGGCGGUAGGCCUAACACAUGCAAGUCGAACGGCAGCACAGUAAGAGCUUGCUCUUACGGGUGGCGAGUGGCGGACGGGUGAGGAAUACAUCGGACUCUACUUUUUCGUGGGGGAUCACGUAGGGAAACUUACGCUAAUACCGCAUACGACCUACGGGUGAAAGCAGGGGAUCUUCGGACCUUGCGCGAUUGAAUGAGCCGAUGUCGGAUUAGCUAGUUGGCGGGGUAAAGGCCCGCCAAGGCGACGAUCCGUAGCUGGUCUGAGAGGAUGGUCAGACACACUGGAACUGGAACACGGUCCAGACUCCUACGGGAGGCAGCAGUGGGGAAUAUUGGACAAUGGGCGCAAGCCUGAUCCAGCCAGACCGCGUGGGUGAAGAAGACCUUCGGGUUGUAAAGCCCUUUUGUUGGGAAAGAAAAGCAGCAGGUUAAUACCCCGCUGUUCUGACGGUACCCAAAGAAUAAGCACCGGCUAACUUCGUG
rnacentral:rRNA from 1 species